UACGUAGGGGGCAAGCGUUGUCCGGAUUUAUUGGGCGUAAAGAGCGUGUAGGCGGCUUUACAGGUCCGUUGUGAAAACUCGAGGCUCAACCUCGAGACGCCGGUGGAAACCGUAAAGCUAGAGUCCGGAAGAGGAGAGUGGAAUUCCUGGUGUAGCGGUGAAAUGCGCAGAUAUCAGGAGGAACACCCGUGGCGAAAGCGGCUCUCUGGGACGGUACUGACGCUGAGACGCGAAAGCGUGGGAGCAAACAGG
rnacentral:rRNA from 1 species